AAAUUGAAGAGUUUGAUCAUGGCUCAGAUUGAACGCUGGCGGCAGGCCUAACACAUGCAAGUCGAGCGGUAGCACAGAGAGCUUGCUCUCGGGUGACGAGCGGCGGACGGGUGAGUAAUGUCUGGGAAACUGCCUGAUGGAGGGGGAUAACUACUGGAAACGGUAGCUAAUACCGCAUAAUGUCGCAAGACCAAAGUGGGGGACCUUCGGGCCUCAUGCCAUCAGAUGUGCCCAGAUGGGAUUAGCUAGUAGGUGGGGUAACGGCUCACCUAGGCGACGAUCCCUAGCUGGUCUGAGAGGAUGACCAGCCACACUGGAACUGAGACACGGUCCAGACUCCUACGGGAGGCAGCAGUGGGGAAUAUUGCACAAUGGGCGCAAGCCUGAUGCAGCCAUGCCGCGUGUGUGAAGAAGGCCUUCGGGUUGUAAAGCACUUUCAGCGGGGAGGAAGGCGUUAAGGUUAAUAACCUUGGCGAUUGACGUUACCCGCAGAAGAAGCACCGGCUAACUCCGUGCCAGCAGCCGCGGUAAUACGGAGGGUGCAAGCGUUAAUCGGAAUUACUGGGCGUAAAGCGCACGCAGGCGGUCUGUCAAGUCGGAUGUGAAAUCCCCGGGCUCAACCUGGGAACUGCAUUCGAAACUGGCAGGCUAGAGUCUUGUAGAGGGGGUAGAAUUCCAGGUGUAGCGGUGAAAUGCGUAGAGAUCUGGAGGAAUACCGGUGGCGAAGGCGGCCCCCUGGACAAAGACUGACGCUCAGGUGCGAAAGCGUGGGGAGCAAACAGGAUUAGAUACCCUGGUAGUCCACGCCGUAAACGAUGUCGAUUUGGAGGUUGUGCCCUUGAGGCGUGGCUUCCGGAGCUAACGCGUUAAAUCGACCGCCUGGGGAGUACGGCCGCAAGGUUAAAACUCAAAUGAAUUGACGGGGGCCCGCACAAGCGGUGGAGCAUGUGGUUUAAUUCGAUGCAACGCGAAGAACCUUACCUGGUCUUGACAUCCACAGAACUUUCCAGAGAUGGAUUGGUGCCUUCGGGAACUGUGAGACAGGUGCUGCAUGGCUGUCGUCAGCUCGUGUUGUGAAAUGUUGGGUUAAGUCCCGCAACGAGCGCAACCCUUAUCCUUUGUUGCCAGCGGUUAGGCCGGGAACUCAAAGGAGACUGCCAGUGAUAAACUGGAGGAAGGUGGGGAUGACGUCAAGUCAUCAUGGCCCUUACGACCAGGGCUACACACGUGCUACAAUGGCAUAUACAAAGAGAAGCGACCUCGCGAGAGCAAGCGGACCUCAUAAAGUAUGUCGUAGUCCGGAUUGGAGUCUGCAACUCGACUCCAUGAAGUCGGAAUCGCUAGUAAUCGUAGAUCAGAAUGCUACGGUGAAUACGUUCCCGGGCCUUGUACACACCGCCCGUCACACCAUGGGAGUGGGUUGCAAAAGAAGUAGGUAGCUUAACCUUCGGGAGGGCGCUUACCACUUUGUGAUUCAUGACUGGGGUGAAGUCGUAACAAGGUAACCGUAGGGGAACCUGCGGUUGGAUCACCUCCUUACCUUAAAGAA
rnacentral:rRNA from 1 species